rnacentral:rRNA from 1 species
UCCAGACUCCUACGGGAGGCAGCAGUGGGGGAUAUUGCACAAUGGGGGAAACCCUGAUGCAGCGACGCCGCGUGUGGGAAGACGGUCCUCUGGAUUGUAAACCACUGUCCCCAGGGACGAAAAUGACGGUACCUGGGGAGGAAGCUCCGGCUAACUACGUGCCAGCAGCCGCGGUAAUACGUAGGGGGCAAGCGUUAUCCGGAUUUACUGGGUGUAAAGGGAGCGUAGACGGCAGCGCAAGUCUGAAGUGAAAUCCCAUGGCUUAACCAUGGAACUGCUUUGGAAACUGUGCAGCUGGAGUGCAGGAGAGGUAAGCGGAAUUCCUAGUGUAGCGGUGAAAUGCGUAGAUAUUAGGAGGAACACCAGUGGCGAAGGCGGCUUACUGGACUGUAACUGACGUUGAGGCUCGAAAGCGUGGGGAGCAAACAGGAUUAGAUACCCUAGUAC